rnacentral:rRNA from 1 species
GAUGAACGCUAGCGGCAGGCCUAAUACAUGCAAGUCGAGGGGCAGCAUAGUAGCAAUACUGAUGGCGACCGGCGCACGGGUGCGUAACGCGUAUGCAACCUACCUUUUACUGGGGGAUAGCCCGGAGAAAUUCGGAUUAACACCGCAUAACAUAUUGAGUUGGCAUCAAUUUAAUAUUAAAUAUUUAUAGGUAAGAGAUGGGCAUGCGUCCAAUUAGCUAGNGGUGAGGUAAUGGCUCACCAAGGCUAUGAUUGGUAGGGGUUCUGAGAGGAAGGUCCCCCA